ACUCCUACGGGAGGCAGCAGUGGGAAUAUUGCACAAUGGGCGCAAGCCUGAUGCAGCCAUGCCGCGUGUAUGAAGAAGGCCUUCGGGUUGUAAAGUACUUUCAGCAGUGAGGAAGGUAGUGUAGUUAAUAGCUGCAUUAUUUGACGUUAGCUGCAGAAGAAGCACCGGCUAACUCCGUGCCAGCAGCCGCGGUAAUACGGAGGGUGCGAGCGUUAAUCGGAAUUACUGGGCGUAAAGCGCGCGUAGGCGGCUUGAUAAGCCGGUUGUGAAAGCCCGGCUGCAACCUGGGAACGGCAUCCGGAACUGUCAGGCUAGAGUGCAGGAGAGGAAGGUAGAAUUCCCGGUGUAGCGGUGAAAUGCGUAGAGAUCGGGAGGAAUACCAGUGGCGAAGGCGGCCUUCUGGACUGACACUGACGCUGAGGUGCGAAAGCGUGGGUAGCAAACAGGAUUAGAUACCCUGGUAGGCUCUG
rnacentral:rRNA from 1 species